CGGAGAAGACGGAAGGAACAGAGAUGUCAUUAUUUACGCCAGAUUAUAGACCCACACACACACACAGAGACACAAGUUGAUUAAGGGCGCUACCCGGAGACGGGCUCCAAGGACCCAACGGGAGGGCCGGGCACGCGCCCCCCACCGGAACAACGACGGGUGGCAUCACGUCAAACCUCGACGGAAAAGGAAAAGAAAAGGUUCGACUCACAGCGUCGUUCAGGUGUACAAAGGACCGACGGAAGGAAGAAACACUUGAGCGGGAUGAAAGAAACAGAGGAAAACGGGGCCAUUUGGGAUGAAAAAAGUAUUUGAAUAAUAAAAGAAACAACUCAAAACUACGAACUGUAAAGGAAGCAAGUUGGUGGCUGUGAAGCGUGAAAUGCUCCUUGCUGUUUUUGCUCCCUUAGAUGGUCACGGUCCGGUGAUGUCACCCGCAAUAAAACCGCUGUGCAACCUCGAGGAGUCGUGACCUUCUGCCGCCGACGCUUGGAGGUCACACGACUUCAACACCAUCGCGUGUACAAAAGAUAAGACACAAAGAGGAGCGGCUACAGUGUAUAAUGUGUUUGGCGCCUUUAUGAUGCUUUUUUACCAUUUCAAAAGAGACGUCUUCGUCUUCGUGAGCGGGAGGCGUGACCUGCAGUAAGAUCCACCACACCACCGUUCCUUUCACCCGAUGUGUUUCCACAGACUCAUGGAGAAAUGUUGGACUUUGCAAGUGUGGUGUUUUAAACUGAUGUUCCAAAGUCAUUUCAAUGUACGUGAAUGACAAUGACCAAUAAUUGUAAACCAACCUGAAGAAGUUUGAACUAUUUAUUUAUUAGCCGAGUGCUAAUUGGACAGUGGUUGUAUUUGCACUUUUACAUUCAAAGCACCGGUUUUCAUGUGUGUGU
ensembl:lncRNA